rnacentral:rRNA from 1 species
GACGAACGCUGGCGGCGUGCCUAAUACAUGCAAGUUGAGCGCUGAAGGUUGGUACUUGUACCAACUGGAUGAGCAGCGAACGGGUGAGUAACGCGUGGGGAAUCUGCCUUUGAGCGGGGGACAACAUUUGGAAACGAAUGCUAAUACCGCAUAAAAACUUUAAACACAAGUUUUAAGUUUGAAAGAUGCAAUUGCAUCACUCAAAGAUGAUCCCGCGUUGUAUUAGCUAGUUGGUGAGGUAAAGGCUCACCAAGGCGAUGAUACAUAGCCGACCUGAGAGGGUGAUCGGCCACAAUGGGACUGGGACACGGCCCAAGAUCCUACGGGAGGCAGCAGUAGGGGAACUUCGGCAAUGGACGAAAGUCUGACCGAGCAAAGCCGCGUGGGUGAAGAAGGUUUUCGGAUCGUAAAACUCUGUUGGUAGGGAAGAAAGUUGGUGAGAGUGGAAAGCUCAUCAAGUGACGGUAACGACACAGAAAGCGACGGCUAACUACGUG